rnacentral:tRNA from 1 species
GAGGGUAUAGCUCAGUGGCAGAGUGUGUGCUUAGCAUGCACGAGGUCUUGGGUUCAAUUCCCAGUACCUCCA